rnacentral:rRNA from 1 species
AUUGAACGCUGGCGGCAUGCUUUACACAUGCAAGUCGAACGGCAGCGGGGGCUUCGGCCUGCCGGCGAGUGGCGAACGGGUGAGUAAUGCAUCGGAACGUGCCCAUGUCGUGGGGGAUAACGUAGCGAAAGCUACGCUAAUACCGCAUACGUCCUGAGGGAGAAAGCGGGGGGAUCUUUGGACCUCGCGCGAUUGGAGCGGCCGAUGUCGGAUUAGCUAGUAGGUGAGGUAAAGGCUCACCUAGGCGACGAUCCGUAGCGGGUCUGAGAGGAUGAUCCGCCACACUGGGACUGAGACACGGCCCAGACUCCUACGGGAGGCAGCAGUGGGGAAUUUUGGACAAUGGGCGCAAGCCUGAUCCAGCCAUGCCGCGUGAGUGAAGAAGGCCU